AGGCCAGUAGCUCAAGUUGGCAGAGCAUCGGACUCCAAAUCCGAAGGUUGGGGGUUCAAGUCCCUCCUGGCCUGCCA
rnacentral:tRNA from 2 species